rnacentral:rRNA from 1 species
UACGUAGGGGGCUAGCGUUAUCCUGAAUUACUGGGCGUAAAGGGUGCGUAGGCGGUCUUUCAAGCCAGAAGUGAAAGGCUACGGCUCAACCGUAGUAAGCUUUUGGAACUGUAAGACUUGAGUGCAGGAGAGGAGAGUGGAAUUCCUAGUGUAGCGGUGAAAUGCGUAGAUAUUAGGAGGAACACCAGUUGCGAAGGCGGCUCUCUGGACUGUAACUGACGCUGAGGCUCGAAAGCGUGGGGAGCAAACAGGAUUAGAUACCCCCGUAGUCCCU